UAGCAGAAUGGUUAAGGUGUCCGUUUCGUAAGCGGAAGAUCAUGGGCUCGAUUCCCAU
rnacentral:tRNA from 1 species